UACGGAGGGUGCGAACGUUAAUCGGAAUCACUGGGCGUAAAGCGCGCGUAGGCGGUUUGCUAAGUGGGAUGUGAAAUCCCCGGGCUUAACCUGGGAAUUGCAUUUCAAACUGGCCGACUAGAGUACGGUAGAGGGAGGUAGAAUUUCCUGUGUAGCGGUGAAAUGCGCAGAUAUCAGGAGGAACACCGGUGGCGAAGGCGGGUCUCUGGGCAGUAACUGACGCUGAGGAGCGAAAGCGUGGGGAGCGAACAGG
rnacentral:rRNA from 1 species